AACGAACGCUGGCGGCAGGCUUAACACAUGCAAGUCGAACGCCCCGCCAGGGGAGUGGCAGACGGGUGAGUACCGCGUGGGAACAUACCCUUUUCUACGGAAUAGCUCUGGGAAACUGGAAUUAAUACCGUAUACGCCCUACGGGGGAAAGAUUUAUCGGGGAAGGAUUGGCCCGCGUUGGAUUAGCUAGUUGGUGGGGUAAAGGCCUACCAAGGCGACGAUCCAUAGCUGGUCUGAGAGGAUGAUCAGCCACAUUGGGACUGAGACACGGCCCAAACUCCUACGGGAGGCAGCAGUGGGGAAUAUUGGACAAUGGGCGCAAGCCUGAUCCAGCCAUGCCGCGUGAGUGAUGAAGGCCUUAGGGUUGUAAAGCUCUUUCACCGAUGAAGAUAAUGACGGUAGUCGGAGAAGAAGCCCCGGCUAACUUCGUG
rnacentral:rRNA from 1 species